ACCACCUGAAACCACACCUCUCUCUUACUAUCUCCUGUUGAUGACCACCGCCGGAUUGACCAAAGCAUUAGCCGGAGAAGACAACACCACCGGAGAACACUUCAGUCGCCGGAAACCUGCACCCUCGCCGGAAUCAUUGCCGGAGAAGACGACCGGGUAAAUCUCUUGCGCUCGUUUACAAUUCUGUUGGACAAACUCUUGCU
rnacentral:lncRNA from 1 species